GCGGGGGUCGCAUAGCAUGGCCAAUUGCGCCAGGUUGAGGGCCUGGUCCUUCAGAGGUACGAGGGUUCAAAUCCCUCCCCCCGCACCA
rnacentral:tRNA from 2 species